rnacentral:rRNA from 1 species
AGACCCGAAACCCGGUGAUCUAGCCAUGGGCAGGUUGAAGGUUGGGUAACACUAACUGGAGGACCGAACCGACUAAUGUUGAAAAAUUAGCGGAUGACCUGUGGCUGGGGGUGAAAGGCCAAUCAAACCGGGAGAUAGCUGGUUCUCCCCGAAAGCUAUUUAGGUAGCGCCUCGUGAAUUCAUCUCCGGGGGUAGAGCACUGUUUCGGCUAGGGGGCCAUCCCGGCUUACCAACCCGAUGCAAACUGCGAAUACCGGAGAAUGUUAUCACGGGAGACACACGGCGGGUGCUAACGUCCGUCGUGAAGAGGGAAACAACCCAGACCGCCAGCUAAGGUCCCAAAGUCAUGGUUAAGUGGGAAACGAUGUGGGAAGGCCCAGACAGCCAGGAUGUUGGCUUAGAAGCAGCCAUCAUUUAAAGAAAGCGUAAUAGCUCACUGGUCGAGUCGGCCUGCGCGGAAGAUGUAACGGGGCUAAACCAUGCACCGAAGCUGCGGCAGCGACGCUGAUGCGUUGUUGGGUAGGGGAGCGUUCUGUAAGCCUGCGAAGGUG